rnacentral:lncRNA from 1 species
AUUUGAAGCAUUCCAUGAGGCACUGAAUCUCAGCAUAGGGAAGAUCUUUGCUCAGCUAUCCCAAAAGCUUCUUUGACAUCAUGGAGGGGAAAAGAAAUGGCCUCCACAAAAGGACACUGGCAGCUCUUCACCUCUUCUUCAUUGUUGCUGCUCACUUGGUAUCUACAGGAGACUGCUCUAGAUGAUCUACAUACAGCAAGAGAGCUUUGCUUAAUGUGAAGACCCUACAGUCAACACAGAGAAAACACAUAAAGGCUCAGUGAUUCCCUCAUUCUGGGCUCCCCACGCUUGGUGUCCUCAUCUGGAGAUCUCACAGACCUGGUA